CUCAGCAAGAGGCUGACAUGCCUGGACUUUCUGCCCGGGAGGAGGGCUGAGCUUUUGGGGCCUGCUUCCAUAGGCAUACAGCCCAAACGCGCAGUCACACCAGCUAUGAAACCUCACAUGGGUGGAGGUUUGCAAGGUCAGCUCCACAAUCAUCCAGGUGAGUGUGACUAUGCUGCCUGGAGGAUUUCUUGCCUGGCACUCUCUGCAGCUUCCACCUGGCUCUGAGGUCCAUAUCCUGCCUCCAGCAGUAUCUGCACAAGGGUCACCUGGAAUGGUCCGGGCAUUCCCAUAUGAGCAGGAAAGAGCUACUCCUUCCAAUGUCAGACUUGCUUUCUCAUCCAGCAGCCCUCCUUCAGAUGCACAGCCUGUCAGCUCCUCAUGACUCUGCUUGAAGCUAUAGUACUGAAAUUGGGACACCARCUGAAUGAUCCUACUGGACCUCCG
rnacentral:lncRNA from 1 species